GGAGCGGUGAAAUGCAUUGAGAUCGGAAAGAACACCAACGGCGAAAGCACUCUGCUGGGCCGACACUGACACUGAGAGACGAAAGCUAGGGGAGCAAAUGGGAUUAGAGACCCCAGUAGUCCUAGCCGUAAACGAUGGAGACUAGGUGCUGUGCGACUCGACCCGUGCAGUGCUGUAGCUAACGCGUUAAGUAUCCCGCCUGGGGAGUACGUUCGCAAGAAUGAAACUCAAAGGAAUUGACGGGGGCCCGCACAAGCGGUGGAGCAUGUGGUUUAAUUCGAUGCAA
rnacentral:ncRNA from 1 species